rnacentral:lncRNA from 1 species
CCUGACUUGUCCUGUAGAUGUACCCCUGCUGGUGUCUAGGUAGCUGGUACCUCACUAUUGACUGGCCCAGGCUGGAAAGCUGCUCUGUCCUCUGUCUUGAUGGCUGGUGAGGCCAAGUCCCAGUGAGCUGGGGAAAGUCAGGCUGUAUUUGCCUGCUCAAGUGGAGCCUGGCCCAGGCAGCAGGCGUUGAGCACCGCCAGCUUGACUGCCUAGUUCCCCUGCAGGGGAUGUAACCAGAAGACUUUCAGAGAGUCAGUACUGGGGACACUUGCCUCACUUCAAGGACAUCAGGACCUGACACUCAGGAGAGAGAGCUACAGACACCAUAUAUAUAGAGAAGGCAGUUGAGUGCAUAGGAGAUCACCUGAGAUCAUCCAGAGGAUGAGGAGGAAGCUCAGGGCACUGCCAUGAAGGAGAGACAUAUUUAAGGGAUGGCCAGAGAAAGAAGAUACUGCAAAAGAGGACAGAUCAUCUAGAGAGCAGGUUGCUCAGCAGGGUGGAGUCGCUGCCCUUCCCAUCCACGGACACCGAGUGCUCGCCCUUCUUCACCAGCAGGCAGACGUGGUGGCCCUGGAUGGAGCGGCUGUACAUGGAGGCGCAGGAGUCCACUCGCUCCACCAUAGAAAAGUGGUGGUGAAAACAUAUCUUUGCCAGAAGGUUCUGGAAGGACAUACUGAUGCCAUCGACUCUGACUGAGCUCAUGCUCAGGUCCCCAGACCCCAGCAGCUUGGCAAAGGCAUCACUGUAGCAGGUUCUGUGUCUUACCCUGGCAGUUCUGUGGGUCUCACAGUCAUGCAGCCUGAAGGAAUCGAUCUAUCGUCCAUCUCAUUAUUUUUAUUGGCUUCAUGAUUUCUCCCAGUAGAGGUGCACCAUAAUUCUAGAGAACAAUUCAAAUGCAGAAGAGCGCAAGAGAUCUGUCCACAUGCUAGAGACCUGAAGAAUCCAGCAGAGGGCCUGGAUCCUGUAAUGUCCUCCACAAGUCCCUCUGGAGGCCCUGAGCCCGCAGCAGUCUCAUGCAAGUCUGUAUCAAGGACCUGCACCGGAAGGUCCAAAGGCCGGUGGUGGAAGCUAGAAAGUCUGCACUGGCAGCGUGAAGGAUCUGCACUGGAGCCAGGAAGCGAGGCUCGAGGCAAAGAUCAGAGCUCCCUUGAAGAGAAGAAGCAAAGACCUGAGCUCCUCUAACAAGAACAGCUGAGUUCUUAUCAGGGAAACCAGCUAUGGCAAGCUUCUUCAGGAAAAUCAGCAGCAUACAAUCUUCCCUUCCAGUUCUCCUUUCAUGCCAUUGGGAACAAUCCUCAGGUGGGUCUUCAAUGCCCAGAACCAUGCUGACUCAGUUCAGCUGGGCGUUCCCACUUAAACAGACCAUUAGUUAAUCCAUCACAGCCUUCAUCCAUCUUCCUGUUGGGUUAGUCUAUAUUUACAGAACCGAAAGUAUUAAAUACAUUUUAAAUGACUUCUGACAUGAUGUCUUACUUAGAAAGGCCCACCUUUCUAAAAUACAAUAAUGCAAUCCUCCCUG